rnacentral:rRNA from 1 species
AUGGCUGUUUCAUCUGGUGAACGUCCAACCAGCUCGGGAGUGCCCCAAUCGCCAGAAAAUGAAACUUUGGCAAGUUCAGAAGCAAUUGUGUCUUCUCCGAUAGCACAGGAGCGACGCAGUCGCGCCUUGGACAUCUCUUCAGAGGAAGCGCUUCAAAUUAAUUCGGUGAAGAUGAAGAGUAAAGAGCAACGACGUUGGUACAUCGAGGAACCGGAAAAUUUUGAAGAUGCAAAGACGGAAGAGUGUUGGCGUCGUGCUAUGGAUGACGAAUUUGGUUCGAUCCGAGACAACGAUACAUGGGAGCUCGCGGAUCUUCCCAACGGACAUAAUGCCAUAGAGUUCAAGUGGGAGUACGAAGUUAAGAAGGGUGCCGAAGGGAACUUGGUGAAGCACAAAGCAAGGCUCGUGGCUAAAUCAAACAUGCAAGACCAAGGUGUGGACUUCGAAGAAGUGUUCGCUCCACUUGCAAGGAUGGACACGGUGAGGCUACUUAUAGCUCUCGCGGCUCAAGAAUCUUGGACUCUACAUCACAUGGGUGUGAACUCCACGUUGUUGACUGGGGAGUUAGAAGAAGAGUUGUAUGUGAAGCAACCACCGGGGUACAUCCAAGAAGGAGAGGAACACAAGGUAUUGAAGCUACAGAAGGCGUUGUACGGGCUACGACAAGCUCCUAGGGCAUGGAACAUCAAGCUUGACCGUACAUUGAUUUCUCUUGGUUUUGAGAAAAGUCCACUCGAGCAUGCUAUGUACAAGCGAGGUAAAGGCAAGGAUCGUCUCUUAGUGGGCAUCUAUGUUGAUGAUCUCUUGAUAACUGGAGCAGACGAAGAGGAGAUUGCGCGAUUCAAGCUACAGAUGAAGGAGCUAUUCAAGAUGAGUGAUCUAGGGCUCUUGACUUACUACCUCGGGAUCGAGGUACAUCAAAAGCCGGAGGGGAUCACACUGCCAGGAGGCAUAUGCAAAGAAGAUACUUGA